CGUCUCCUCCGGGCUGAAUAAGCCCGGUGGCCCCAGGCACCCCUCAGGCGGCUUCCCCUCGAGGAGAGGGUUCUCAGUGGUUACUGCGAGGAGGGAGGCUUCUCUUUCCUUCAGCCAGUCAUAAGAUCAAAUCCUGUUGUUCCUAUGCUUCUCUGUCCUUGCCUGCUGAUGUUAUCUCAUGGAACGAAGAAGAGCCCCACUUGGAUUCAGAUGCGGGAAGUGUUUUCUAUAUUUAUAUGAAAAUUAAAAAGACUUACUAUUCUUUUAAGUAAAAAUUAGAUGUUGAAGUAGUUUGCUUGACUGUCAGGAGUUUUUGCUGUGGCAGUCUGCUGAUAAAGAGUUUUAUUCUGGUAUGUUAUUAUUUACAUUUUACAAAACUGAUAAUUAAACAUAACAUUCUUUAUUAGAAUCAUCAUGAAGAUGAAAAUGUAAAUUAUACCCCAUUUACUGUUAUCUUAAUACAUAUUAAAAUGACUGUGCAUUCUUUUAACACCUCCAGAUAUUAAUUGUACAAAACGGGAUUCUUAAAAUAAAAUAUUUGCUAAUUUAUC